rnacentral:piRNA from 1 species
UAGAAACAUGUGGCUGUGAGUUCAAAGCU